CAGUUUCAAGUUAUGUGGACCUCCUCUUCCCUUGUGCCCCUGGAGUUUCUGCUGAUCUAAAUGACACUUUGUUUCCCACGGGUGGUUCUGGCUGCUCUCACCUCAAGUCUGUGGAAUUUUCAGAAGACUCUCAUUCAAGUGGCAGAAUCAGCGGAACGUGUGUGACCUUCACUGCGUUGUUGAAUGAUUGCCCAUCAGAAAAUACAAAGAGUAAAAGACUACUGGGCAAGGAUAAAUUCUAGAAAUUGAAAUACUGAGUCCAAGAGUAUGAACAACCCUUCAAGGUCCUAAAUGGGGGAGGACCAGAGCUGGUAAUUUAUUUAUUUAUUUAUUUAUUUAUUUAUUUAUUUAUUUAUUUUCCUGGGUAUCUGCCAUCCUGCUACUAGCUAGGUAGACAGCAGGUAAUAGGUGUGGUAAAGAUUCAGGGCCUGGGCAGGCCCUGGAGAAAGGCUGGGCAGUGCUCUUGCUAUGGAGGCAGGGUCGGUGGGACUGCCCUUUAGAAAUGUUUAUUUCCUCUUGAUGCAGUGUGGCAGAGGGGAGGCGACAUGGAGAGGAAGAGUUCAUCAAAGGAAUGCGUCUAGACCACAGGUGAAAUGUAUAGCCUUUUAAGAUGAAUAUCAUCACAAGAAAAUGCCUCUGCUCACUAAAAACCACCAGUUCAGCUAAAGACUUUCUUGAUGUAGUGUAGCUUCCCUUGCGCUACACCGUAAGUUACUCACAUACAGCAAAUGACUAUCUGUAAAUAUUCCUUCUGCCCUCUCAUUACUGCCACAUUCUCCCUCAAGUCUCCCUUCCCCAGAUGAACAUUACCUGUCCUUUGCCAGCUUUCUGUGAUGCAGUAUCACAUACUAGCAAAAGCACAGACUUGAUUGGCCACUGUCCUAGUCUGAUUCCUGUCUGUGCCCUGUAGGUUGGACAAUCUUUUCUUCUUAAAAUUGAAGUAUCUUUGACACACAAUGCUACGUUAGUUUCAUGUGUACAACGCAGUGAUUUGACAUGUGUAUAUGUUAUACUAUGUUUACCACGAGUGUAGCUACCCUGUGUUACCAUGUAACACUGCUUCAAUACCAUUGACUAUUUAUAUCCCCUGUAUUGUACCUUUUAUUCCUCUGGCUUAUUCACUCCAUAACUGGAAGCCUGCAUAUCCCACUCCUCUUCGUUC